rnacentral:lncRNA from 1 species
UCCACACAUCUGGGUUAUUUUCAGUCAACUGAGGUAGCUGAAAUUCCUUAUUAUUUUACAGGCCUUUGAGGUUCAGACUGCCUUAAAUUCCCUAGAUGUAGAAAUCUGAGCAGUUGGCUUGAAUAUCAUGCAUGCGGUCUUCCAGAGUGAGGCUUGCAUGUUGUUUGGCAUCUGGAGGGUUGUGUUGCUGGUCAUGAAUGGAGAGUGUAACACAAUCUAGCUGGGAGGUAUCCAAGGCCAGUGCAGCCCCAGGGCUGCUGAAGUAGAAAGGGGGAAGGGCUAAGAGUUGGUGUUAGAGAGGAAGGCCACCAGGUGGCGCCAGAGCAUAGGCAGAGCCCACUCACACCUCCCUGGCUGCACCUGCAGGCUCAGAGAUGGAGUGGUUGUUGGGUUUGUCAAACCCCCAGGACGUGCCCAGAGUGUUGGGAUUAAUUUCAGGGCACCUCUGCUCUCUAGCCCACUUGGCUCACCUCAGGAAGAAGAAACAUGUGUGCCUUCAGCAUCAAAUGGGCUAUUCCAACCUGGUAGGGUGGCCCAGGGGCCAGAGAGUUUGACAAGAUAUCUGGUGUCAGAUCAGCUUUUGUUUUUCAAGGGAAGGACUCUGGACCCACAAAUAUCUGUCCUGAGUCUUGGACUUACAAUUUUCAAGCCUCUGGCCUCCAUGAAGUUGUCGAUGUGGAAAAAAGGGCUGGUGGUCAUGAAUGGAGCUUGUAAAAGUUGUCAUAUUUUGGUGGGCAGCUGUUUGAAUCACUUUGCUUUUUCCCUUAAGACAUCUCCUCAAACUUCCCUCUUCUAUUUCCAUUUGAACCUUCUUUUCCCCAUUCUCCAACCGCUGUUUCACAGGGAGCAGACUUUAAGGCAGAGCUCGUGAAUGAACAAAAGCUGACUGAUUUAAAGAAGGCUCCCAAGACCCAUUGGGUGGGGAGGCAGAGGGUUUUCAUGUAUUGGGGUGGGGUGGGUUGGCGUGAGCGCUCUAGGAAACUUUGAAAAAGAAAUAGCCCAGUCUGAAGAAGAAAUAUGUGUGACUUCAGCAUCAGAUGCAUAUUUCCACCCUGCCUGGGUGGUCCAGGGGCCAGAGAUUUUGAAAGGUUCUCUGAGGUUGGGUUGGUUUUUGUUUCUCUAGAGACAAGACUCUGGAACCAAAAUAUCAUUCUCAAAUCCUGGGCUUGCAGUUUUCAAGCCUCCGGGCACUGCAAAGUUGUCCUGUUGAAAAUGGGGCUGGUAGUCAGGAAAGGAGAAUGUAAAAACCGUGGAAAUCCCUGUGCUUUUUCUCUCCGGAGUUCUCCCCAAAAUUCACUCUUGCCCUUUCAUCUGAGCCUCUUUUUCCUGUCUGUGACCCUGUUUCAGGGAGCAGACUUAAAGGAAGGUCACAUGAAUGAAGGCAAAAUGAUUGAUUUAUGGAAGGCACUCAGGACCCAAUGGGUGGGGACGCAGAGGGUUUUCCUGUCUAGGGGUGGGUGGCUUGGGCUCUGGGAGACUUCAAGGGAGAACUGCCCCAGUGUCUAGGGCACUCCAUUGCACCUGGCGGGUGAGGAGGAACAGAAUGCAGCUGCGAGGGCCCGAGGCGAGUGUGGCUUCAGGGGCUGCUGUGGGAGGCAGAAGGCAAAGUCUAAGCGCCAGUGUUGGAGCAGAUGGCCACUAGGCUGCAGCAGGCCACGGGCAGGGCCCCUUUGCAGCUGCUUAGCAGCAACUUCAGGUUCAGAGAUGGAGGUGAAGAUGGACUGUUGGAACUCUGCUCACAGGUUUGGGGUUGGUUAUAGGGCGCCUCCGAUAUGCUGGCCCAGAUUGCCUUACCACAGGGAGGGGACACAGCUCUGCCUUUGGCACCUGAUGGGCAUUUCCAGCCUGAUCGGGUGGCCCAGGGGCCAGAGAGUUUGACAGGUUCUCUGGGGUUGGAUUACUUUUUGUUUCUCAGGGGUAGGACUCUGGACCCGAAAUAUCUGCCUUGCACCUUGGGCUUACAAUUGCCAAGCCUCCAGCCUCCAUACAGUUGUCAUGUGGCAAAAGGGGCUGGUGGUCAUGAAUGGAACAUGUUGAAAUGUUACGGCAGCUGCCCAGCAGCCCUGCGCCGAAGCGUACCAGCUCUAGUGAUGGCUCUGUGGCUGCAGUGUGUCAGCUCUUUUACCUGGUGAGAAACAAAGCCAGCACUCGCAGAGGUGGAGAACUCAGUUUUAUGAUGCCGGCGGGCUCAGAGGAGAUCGUUCUCCGGAGUCUGAGCCCCGAAGAAGGGUUUCACAAGCCUUUCAUGGGCUACCUCUUCUGGGUCCCUGCUUGGCUGGUGGGACCGCAGUGAGGUCAGGCAAGGUAGCAGAUGCGGAAACUAGUUUACAGAAGCAGAUGUGUGGGGGAGGGGUGGGUGGGGCAGUUGGCUGGACUUUGCUUGGUCAUCAUGGCCGGGGUCUCUCCUUUCUACAUUUUUAUCGAGACAUUUUCUCCUACAAAACUGGUGUUAUUUUGGUGGGCAGCUGUGCAAAUUGCUAUGCUUUGUCCUUCAAGAUGCCUCCCCAGAUUCCCUCCUCUCUUUCCUUUGGGGCCUUGUUUUCCUGUUUCUGACCCAUUUCAGGGAGCAGACUUAAAAGUGGUUCUCGAGAAUUAAGGUAGGGUAAUCGAGAGAAUGCUUUCAUGACACAAUGUGUGGGGUUGGAGGCGGGGGGAAGCAGAGGGUUUUAAUGCGUUAAUUUGGGGUGAGGGCUCUGGGAGACCUUGAGAGGGAAGUAGCCCAGUCUAUAGCCCAGAGAGAUGUGUGCUUUCUGCAUCUGAUGGGUGUUUCCAUCCUGCUCUGGUGGCCCAGGGGCCAGAGAAGUGGACAGGUUCUCUGAGUUUGGCUUGCUUUGUGUUUCUCAGAGUCAGGACACUGGACUCGAAAUACCUGUCUUGAAUCUUGGCCUUGCAAUUGCCAAGCCUCCAGCAUCCAUGGAGCUGCCAUGUGGCAGAAGGGCUGGUGGUCAUGAAUGGAGCAGGUAAAAGUUGUGCUAUUUAGAGGGGCAGCUCUGGAAUCCCUGUGCUUUAUCCUUCAAGGGUUCUCCCCCAAAGUUGGUUCUUCCACUUCCACCUGACCCUCUUUUUUUUUUUUUUUUUUUUUUUUGCCAUUUCUUGGGCCUUCCCAGGCUAGGGGUCGAAUUGGAGCUCUAGCCACUGGCCUACACCAAAGCAACAGCAACGUGGGAUCUGAGCUGCAUCUGCAACUACACCACAGCUCACUGCAACGCUGGAUCCUUAACCCACUGAGCAAGGCCAGGGAUCGAACUCGCAACCUCAUGGUUCCUAGUCGGAUUUGUUAACCACUGCACCACGACAGGAACUCCCCACCUGACCCUCUUUUUCCUUCUCCGACUCCUGUUUCAGGGAGCAGACCUAAAGGUCAUGUGAGUGAGGGCGGUGUGACUGAUUUAAAGAAGCCCCUUAGGACCUAGUGGGUGGGAGCAAAGGGUUUUAAUGUAUCAGGGUGUGGUAUGUUGGGGUGAGCACUCUGGGAAACUCUGAGAGAGAACUAGCCCAGUCUGUAGGGUGCUUCACUGUGCUUAGAAGGUGAGGAGAAACGAAAUUUAAGCUGCCUGGGCCCAAGGCCAGUGUAGCUUUGGGGGCUGCUGUGGGAGGCAGGAGGAAUGGCUGAGAGUGGGUGUUACAGUGAAUGGGCACCAGGUGGCGCCAGAGCACAGGCAGCGCCCGCUUGCUGCUAUCUGGCUCUUCAAGGCUCAGAGGUGGAGUUGAAGAAGGACUGUUGGAACACUCAGUACACGCUUGUACGUUUGGUGUUGGUUACAGGGCUCCUCUAAUACUCCAUGCAAGUCACCUCACCUUAGGGAGGGGACACAGCUGUGCCUUCAGCAUCCGAUGGGCAUUUCCAGCCUGACUGGGUAGCCCAGGUGCCAAAGUGUGACACGUUCCUGGGGGUCAGCUUGCCUUUUGUUUCUCCAGAGACAGAUCUUUGGACCCAGAAACACAGGUAUUGAAUAUUGGGCUUGUAAUUUUUAAGCCUGGUCUUGGGCACAUACCAGCAAUGAUGUCGUUAACUCCUCUCUCUCAGUGUGAUGAAAUGCCCUACAGGCAGGCAAACAGUGCCAGGGCACUCACUCCACCCCACUCCCUGAAAUCAACCACCCCGCUUUCGAAGUAAAGUGAGCUGACUUUGAAUCAAUCAACACCGUUCAGCCCUGGGGCCCAGCUUGAAAUCAAGGACCUCCCAGGCUUCAUUCAUGUUACUUGGUAGGGUAGGGUCCUUAUAACAGGGGUCCUGCAGAGGAGGAAGAGGCUCAGGUGGAGAGGGAAGAAAAAGGUCAUGGAGAUCUCGGAGAGAAAGGGCACCGAGGUGAGCACAGCCCACCCCCAAAAUACCCACCACACGAUACACGGCAUUCACGACCAGAAGACCAGCUUUCCGGAAGCCAGACUCCAUGCAAACCUGAUUCUAGAAAACCGCACACCCAAGAUGCAAGCCAGGUAUUUCUGGGUCCAGAGUUCUGCCUCCAAACAAUUAAAGGGCACUCAGAACCCAGACAGCCUGUCAAACUGUCUGACCACUGGGCCAUCCGACCACACAGGAAUGGAACCAUAGAUGUGAUGGCAGAAUUAUUUCCCCUCUCUCAGUUGAGGCAAGUUGGGCCAGCGGGUGAGAGGGACCACGUAUCAAAAUGCAAGGCUCUGGGCACCUCCUUGGGUUCCACCAACCCAUCUCCAGCCCCAUCUCUGAGCCUGAAGGUGAAGCCUCAGAGCUGCAGAGGGGCUCUGCUGGUGGCCUGGCACCAUCUGGCGGCCAUGUGCUUUACCAGCCACUCUCAGCCCUUCCUCUGCCUCCCACAGCAAAACCCUGGUCUGCACUGGCUUUGGGCACCUGCCAGAGUGAUUUCCUUCCUCCUCUCCCUCUCAGAGCACUGAAAUGCCCUACAUACAGGGAGAGUAACUAUCUCAGAGCCGCCGGGGCACUCACCCCACCUGACACCACCCAAUUCCCUGAAAUCAACAACCCGCUUUUUAAGUCAAGUGAGCAAGCUUUUGAAUUAAUCAGCACCCGUCAGCCCUGAGACCCUGCUUGAAAUCAAGGACCAUCUAACUUUUAUUCAUGUUACCUGGUUUUAGAUAGAUUUCUUGUCAUAGGAGUCUGCGGGGGGAGACUCAGGUGGGAAGAAAGAAAGCAGCUGGGGGGAAAGGGGACACGGAUGAGCACAGCCCGCCCCCCAAAAAGCAUGGGUUGACACACUGCAUUGACUUCCAGAAGCCAAGCUCCACAAUCAGCUCUUACAAAGGAGGCUAUGUCUCUCUCACAGGCUCCCUCAAAACUCAGUCCUCCAUGUCCAAAACCACUACUUUAAGCCCAUCAGCAGAAACCCACUCUCAGUCAAGAAAACCUCUUUAAAUUCAUCAGCACCCCCUUACUUUCUGUGAACUUGGUCCAGGGAAUGUCCUUCCCUCAGGGGUGAAUGGCAGAUGGGAGAGGCUCAGAUGGAAAAAAAAAUCAGGAUUUGGAUUGGGGGGGUGGUGAGAACUCUCCAGAGACGGUUCUGAGCCCUGGGAACUGCGUGCACACCGAAGGACCUCAGCUUGUACACACUCCAUGUGCCACCUUCAGCCCCGCUCUCCAGAUGAUGAACCCUGGAAAACUGAUUCUGGAAAACCACUUGCCCCAAAGCCUUCUAGCAACUCUGAGCCCUUCCUCCUCACUCCCUGAUAAUACUGGGGCUGAACUUAACCUGAGAAACUGGCAGCCUGACUUCCUUUUCCUCUCCCUCUAAGCACAAGCCAUUGCCUUACAGAGGGGUGCAUUCCUCUCUCACAGUGUCCCAGGGCAUCAGUCCUCCCUGUUCCAUACGGCUCCUGUAAGUCAAUCAGCCAAACCCACUUCACGUCAGCUAACCAGCUUUAAAUUAGCCCCCUUUUAAUUUUCUUGGCCUGGUUUUAGCUAAGGUUCUUGUCUCAGGGGUGAAUAAGAGGAAGGGGAGAUUCAGAUGGAAAAAUAUAAGGAACUUUGGAAAGAACUCUCAAGAGAGUGUUCAAAGGGACAGCUAAAGUCCACCUAUCUAAUUAUAACUGCUUUUGUAUACUUCAAUCAUGACCUCCAGCCCAGCUUUCCAGAUGACAAACCCCAUACCCUAGAUUCAAGCCAGGUAUUUCUGGGGACAGAUGUCUACCUCUAGAACCAAAUGGAAGUCAGACCACAGAGAGUCAGUCAGAUUGUCUGGCCAUUUGGACACACAACCAGUUUGGAGGGAACCAUGGAUUUAAGGGUAGAACUAGGAGUUCCUGUUGUGGCUCAGCAGUAAUGAAUCUAACUAGUAUCCACGAGGACGCAGGUUCGUUGGGUUAAGGACUCGGCAUUGCUGUGAGCUGUAGUGUAGGUGCAGCUCGGAUCUGGUGUUGCUGUGGCUGUGGUGUAGGCUAGCAGCUAUAUCUCCAGUUUGACCCCUAGCCUGGAAAGCUCCAUAUGCUGUGGGUGUGGCCCUAAAAAG